rnacentral:rRNA from 1 species
UACGAAGGGGGCUAGCGUUGCUCGGAAUCACUGGGCGUAAAGCGCACGUAGGCGGCUUUCUAAGUCAGGGGUGAAAUCCUGGAGCUCAACUCCAGAACUGCCUUUGAUACUGGAAAGCUUGAGUUCGGGAGAGGUGAGUGGAACUGCGAGUGUAGAGGUGAAAUUCGUAGAUAUUCGCAGGAACACCAGUGGCGAAGGCGGCUUACUGGUCCAUUACUGACGCUGAGGUGCGAAAGCGUGGGGAGCAAACAGG